rnacentral:rRNA from 1 species
AGCGAACGCUGGCGGCAGGCCUAACACAUGCAAGUCGAACGAUCCUUCGGGAUAGUGGCGGGCGGGUGAGUAACACGUGGGAACGUGCCCUUUGGUUCGGAACAACUCAGGGAAACUUGAGCUAAUACCGAAUGUGCCCUUCGGGGGAAAGAUUUAUCGCCAUUGGAGCGGCCCGCGUCUGAUUAGCUAGUUGGUGAGGUAAUGGCUCACCAAGGCGACGAUCAGUAGCUGGUCUGAGAGGAUGAUCAGCCACGCUGGGACUGAGACACGGCCCAGACUCCUACGGGAGGCAGCAGUGGGGAAUCUUGCGCAAUGGGCGAAAGCCUGACGCAGCCAUGCCGCGUGAAUGAUGAAGGUCUUAGGAUUGUAAAAUUCUUUCACCGGGACGAUAAUGACGGUACCCGGAGAAGAAGCUCCGGCUAACUUCGUGCCAGCCGCCGCCGUAAUAC